UGCAACUCUCAAGGUUUUGUCUUAUUCAAGC
rnacentral:piRNA from 1 species